AAGAGAGGGAGAGGGAGAGGGAUGUUAAGUGACAGAGAGCGCAAUAGGGUGAAUGAGGCAAUUGGGGAGAAGAAGAGAGAGACAGAAAAAGAUAGAGGAAGCAAGGGAGAGAGAGAACGAAUAGACAGUAUUUAAAGGGUUAUAGUUGGAAGGGAGAAGGACGUUGCGCACAAAUAGUCAUAAAUAAAGAGAAUAUAUAGUAGCGAUAUAAACAAGUCAGAAAAACAGUAUUAUAGUCUACUUCGUGUUCAUUUUUAUUUUUUAUUUUCAAAAGUUUUGCUGUUAAUAUUGAAAUAAAGAAAGAAAGUUUUACUAUUUUUCAAUUAGGAUUUUUGGGGAAUAUAUGGGUUAUUAAAUUUGUUAUUCUAAUUAUAACCUUGAAAUUAUUCGAUAUUAGACAUUAUACAGAUAUAAACACGUAACACCGCCUUGAAAUGCGCGCGCGUAUGUGUGUGUGUGUGUGUGUGUGUGUGUGUGUGUGUGUGUAAGAGAGAGAGAAAUAGAGAGAGGGAGAGAAAGAUAAAGAGAGAGAUAGAGAAAAAGAGAGAGGAAGAGAGAGAGAGAAAGGACAUUGUAUAAAUAGCAAAAUUUUAUAGUGACUAUAAAUUCUUCGAGAUAAGAAUAAUAUCGUAAUAGAAUAUACUUGCGGUGUAUCUGAAGCAGAGUCGAAAUCUUCUCCAGACAGGUUUCUCUUCUUUUAAGUAUAAAUUAAGUAAGAGAAGAGAGAGAGAGAGAGAGAGAGAGAGAGAGAGAGAGAGAGAGAGAGAGAGACAGAGAGAGAGAGAGAGAGAGAGAGAGAGAGAGAGAGAAACUUAUGCAAAACUCAACAAAAUGGAAUUAAAGCUGGAAAAGUUCUACGCAGCCCAACGACGAAAGGAGAUGUUUGCGAUGCACCUGAUAUUCAAAGGACGAGAUCCGACGGCUAAGGAUAGGAUCGAUAAUUAUAAACAGUAAAAUAGGAAAGCCAACGCGCGUUACUUUUUUCAGAAGUAUUGAUCCAUUUUGUAGAGAAUAUAUUUGUUCCAUCGUUGUAACUGAUGGAGAUUGUGAAGCAAUAAUAAGUUGGGUCAUUAAUAUCUAAUAAAUGUGAACUUGAAAAUUUCGUUAUUUCUAUUUUUUUUUUUUUUUGAAUUCUCAUGAUAUUGUUCUAAUAAUAUUAAUUUAUAUGAUAAUUUUCAAAGCUAAUUCAAAAAGGUUACGAUCUUUUAUCAAUCAAGCACAUGGAGCUUUUCGAAUAUGUCGUGUGCUUUCUAAUGUAUGUAUGUUGCUGAUGGUAAGUUCAUUGUAUGCAUGUAUAUGCGUUCAUAUGUGUGAAUGUUAACGUGCACAAGUUUCUUACAGCUAUGCUCUGUACACUAAUACUAGCACGCUUUACGAUCAAUAGAGGAACGUCACUCUCGGCCGUUUUCGACAUGUUCCGUUGGGUUCCCCUACUAUAUUCGUCCUCCAAGACGACGACCAACCAUUAAUGACCACGCCUUGCUUGCGUGCUUUCAAGAUAAAACUGGUUCUUUAAGGCGAAUACGUGCCUAACAUUUCUUAAAGGUUCUCUUGGUUACGUUUAUGUUGAAACGACACACCCCCGAUUAAUGUCUGUAUGUGUAUGCGUAUGUAUGUUGUGUAUGUUGUGUAUGUAUGUACGUAGUUAGAUGCAUACAUAGAUGUAUAUAUAAAUGCUGCAGCUACGAUCGAUUA